rnacentral:rRNA from 1 species
UACGUAGGUGACCAGCGUUGUCCGGAUUUACUGGGCGUAAAGAGCGCGCAGGCGGUCGUUCAAGUCGAGUGUGAAAGCCCCCGGCUCAACUGGGGAGGGUCAUUCGAUACUGAUCGACUCGAAGGCAGGAGAGGGAAGUGGAAUUCCCGGCGUAGUGGUGAAAUGCGUAGAUAUCGGGAGGAACACCAGUGGCGAAGGCGGCGAUCUGGCCCAACAUUGACACUGAGACCCGAAAGCGCGGGGAUCAAACAGG